rfam:Fungal sp. No.11243 DNA, scaffold: sccafold0007.
GGAGCUGUGGCGCAACGGUAGCGCGUCGGAUUCCAGUUUGGAUUCCAACACUCAGGUGCAUCCCGAAGGUUGCCGGUUCAAAUCCGGUCAGCUUCA